UACGUAGGUGGCAAGCGUUGUCCGGAUUUACUGGGCGUAAAGAGCGCGCAGGCGGUCGUUCAAGUCGCGUGUGAAAGCCCCCGGCUCAACUGGGGAGGGUCACGCGAUACUGAUCGACUCGAAGGCAGGAGAGGGUAGUGGAAUUCCAGGUGUAGCGGUGAAAUGCGUAGAUAUCUGGAAGAACACCGGUGGCGAAGGCGGUCAACUGGCCCUCAACUGACGCUGAGGCACGAAAGCGUGGGGAUCAAACAGG
rnacentral:rRNA from 1 species